UGUAAUGCAAAGGUGACCAACGUCUAUU
rnacentral:piRNA from 1 species